rnacentral:lncRNA from 1 species
AUUCUAAAGGCACACAUAUUAGAAAUUAGAAUCUUAUGCUGGAUAGACAUCUCUCCCCUUUUUCCUGUUUGCCCAGUUUUCAAAGGUUAGGGGGAAAACAGUCUCCAGAGUUUUUAUGCUUUCUCAAUUUGUAACAUGUGGUGGGAUAGCAUAUAAUAUGUCAUUUAUAUAUUUCUGUUUCUUGCCUAUAUUUGCAUUUCUUAUUUUCUUCCUGUUCUGUCUUGGUAUUUCCCUCCAUCUCCUACUCUAUCCCUAAAUCCUUUCCAGGGUGCAAGUCAAUAAAUAUCUGAAAUUAUUGCCUAUUUCUGAUGUCUUUCAUUUUGUGUCAUGCUUUAUAAGUUCAAAAUUCUGUAACAGUGACCAUCACUUGUUACUCUUGAACAUAUCAGUUAUUUCCAAAGUAUUCUUUGUUAUUGGAUAGUCAGUGAAUGUCUGGGGCUGAAUGAAGAUAUUCUGGGUAGAAUAUGCAGUACUUUAUACCUAAAAGUGAAUUGUAGGAACACUGAAUUACUAACUAGAUGAAUAGCAUAGCAAACCAUCCGCUGAAACCUAACAAAAGUAGCUCAUUUGGGGAGUGAGUUUUGGAGAGUCACUCUGCCUCUGUUCUGUAGAUUGUGGCAAAUAAACAUGAUAUAGUAUACAUUGUGUGUGUGUGUGUGUGUGUGUGUGUGUGUAGGUGUAAUACUAUCUAUUUGAAAUGACAAUGUAAAAUGAGCAGGAGACCUUUUAAGACCAACAAGGAGCUUCCUUUAUCACUACUGAUUCUCGUGUCGAAAUAGAGCUUAGAGAAUCUAUGAUGAAAACACUGUGACCCAAGUUCACACUCUAAGGUCAAACUUCCAAAGUUCAGCCCUUGUCCUUGUGAAUCACUUAACCUUUCUGUACCUUCGUUGCCUCGUCUGUACAAUGGGAAUGCUGCAUAGGGCAAUUGUAAAUUCUCCACUCUGAAUGCCAUCCGGGUAAGUCCCACCUGACUGAACUUGUCGAUCUUAGAGCUGACCUGUCCCACUGGAGGAAGACCUCAGAGACCAUUCCCCAUACAAAAUUUGGCCUUGCCAUCGUCUGUCUUGGGCAAGUCGUUUUAACCUCUCUGACUUCAGUGACUUCUUGUGAAAUGAGAUGAUGGUGCUAUGUGAUCUUUUCCCUUAAACCUCAAGCCAAACAAUAGGUCCAGGCAU